rnacentral:lncRNA from 1 species
GUUUUGUUUCUAUAUGCAAUUCAUGAUUUCAUUUGUUUGAAUGUUGGUGAUUUCUGAUGUUCAUUCGGCGGGUCGACCCCCCUUCCUACGGGUUCCCCCACUGACCCAGUGACACACCAACCACGCCCCUUCCCUUUCUCUGAUCAUAAAGCCACCUAAUCCCUUUCCUUGUCUUUCAUCCCUCUGUCCCGUUCUUUCUAAUUCAACAAAAUAGGGAUAGGGGCGAAGCGCCCAUUUGAAGUGGUGAAGGUUAGCCAUUUGAACGAGUGGAGCAACGAGAACGAGUGGAGUUUACGAGCUUAAUAGGAGCUUACAAUAUCAAACAGCAAUAGAGUCAACGAGAACGAGUGGAUUUUACGAGC